UUCUCUCUUCAGAGCAGAGUCCUGGGCCUCCCAUGACAACACUCAGACAGGAAGGCUCUAAGACCAUGAUGAAGCCUGUCCCUGGCUCUGCAUCUGCCCACCUCUGCCAUCCCUGCUGCUGACUCUGCUGCUGGAAUUCCCCAAUGCUACCUCUCAAUGGACAACAAAUGUGGGAAAAUAUGAAAUUAUAAAGCAAGAAAAGAAUCCUUAAUGUUCCAUCUAAACAUAAUCACUGUGAAAAUUUGCAGAGGUUUGCAUGCUAAUGGAACACUGGCCAGAAGUGGUCACUAGGGGUCUCUCUGGGUCAGUGAUGGAAGCUGAACACUGCAGGCUCUCCAACAGAACUUAAGGUUCUGACUCUACUUGCUGAAAAAGCUAAACAAGCAUGUGGAAUCUCUUCCCCAAGGCCAUUGGUUCAUGUUGCAGAGGCUUUGAGUUCCAACUGCCAGAGCAGAUGGCUUGAGAGGUGCACAUCUGAUGGAAGAGGACGCCAAAACCAUUUUCUGAGUAUAAGGAAGGAGGAAGAAAGCUUGGAUAGUUUUUGAACGAGUAAAAUAUAUGAGACAUCUAGACCCCUUGCAAAAUGUUAGUAAACAUUUGCAGAAGAAUUAGUACCAAUUUUAUACAAUCUUCCAGAAAAUAGAAGAGGAUGACACGUUCCUUAUUCAUUUGUUGGGUCUAUUAUUACCUUGAUAGCAAAACCAGAUUUAAUGUACAUUAAAAAGAUAACUACAGACGUA